rnacentral:rRNA from 1 species
UCCGUAGGUGAACCUGCGGAAGGAUCAUUAAAGAUUCUAAGGCUUCGGUCUUAAUUUCGGCUGUGCGCUCAGGCUGCACGCCGAUAACCUCUCACACCUGUGCACCUUUUCGGUUGCGGUUUCGGCCGCUUCCGCUUUUACAUGCAACCACGAAAAGUCUAGAAUGUGAAGAAAACUAUAAAGUAACAACUUUCAACAACGGAUCUCUUGGCUCUCGCAUCGAUGAAGAACGCAGCGAAAUGCGAUAAGUAAUGUGAAUUGCAGAAUUCUUAACCUCUCACACCUGUGCACCUUUUCGGUUGUGGUUUCGGCCGCUUCCGCUCUUACAUGCAACCACGAAAAGUCUAGAAUGUGACGAGAACUAUAAAGUAACAACUUUCAACAACGGAUCUCUUGGCUCUCGCAUCGAUGAAGAACGCAGCGAAAUGCGAUAAGUAAUGUGAAUUGCAGAAUUCAGUGAAUCAUCGAAUCUUUGAACGCACCUUGCGCUCCUUGGUAUUCCAUGGAGCAUGCCUGUUUGAGUGUCACGUAAACCCUCGCCCCUGCGAUGUAACAGUCGCCUGCGGUGGACUUGGACCGUGCCGGUAAUCGGCUCGUCUUGAAAUGCAUUAGCUGGCGCUUUUAGAGUGCUGGGCGAACGGUGUGAUAAUUAUCUGCGCCGACUGCCCUGGGCCUCUUCAGCGGCGCUGCUUACAGCUGUCCCUCGUGGACAACUAUUUUAAAGCUUUGGCCUCAAAUCAGGUAGGACUACCCGCUGAACUUAAGCAUAUCAAUAAGCGGAGGA